rnacentral:sRNA from 1 species
GUUCUUCCUUUUCGAUCCGCCAUCUGCGGUGGAGCCGCCACCAAAAUGCAGAUUUUCGUGAAAACCCUUACGGGGAAGACCAUCACCCUCGAGGUACGGGCCAGGUGGUCAUGAGGAAGCCAAGGUCCGAAUAAGGUCCUGAGGUGGAUUUUAGGACCGGCGCUGCUUUCCAUGUCUUAGACCAUGAUUCCGAAUUUGGGUUCUAAAACUUAAGCUUUGAAAUGAGUACCUUUUGCUGAGCAACGACCUAGAGGUGAUUUUCGGUGGCCAAAGGCUGGACUUGUCUCUCGAGGGGUUCCAGCUAGUUAGUUAAAACGGAGGAGCUGCGGUGGGGAAGGAGAUGCUCUGCCCGCCGUGUGCGAGCACGUGUGGCCCUGCGGCCGCCGCCCGCUCUGGGCUGGGGAGAUGAAGGUGCUUUCCGGUAGCCGACUUGGGAGGUUGCCCACUGGGUGGGUAAUAGGUCUCUCAAGUAGGUCUCAGCCCUGUCGCUGGUUCGGUUCAGUGGUAAUUGUCAAACUAAAUGAGUUCUGCUGUAGUUCCUUAAUGUGUAACCAACAUGCUUUCAUUUUAACACUCAUAGGUUGAAC